rnacentral:rRNA from 1 species
UACAGAGACUGCAAGCGUUAUUCGGAUUCACUGGGCGUAAAGGGUGCGUAGGUGGCGCCGUAAGUCGGGUGUGAAAUUUCGGAGCUUAACUCCGAAACUGCAUUCGAUACUGCGGUGCUUGAGGACUGGAGAGGAGACUGGAAUUCAUGGUGUAGCAGUGAAAUGCGUAGAGAUCAUGAGGAAGACCAGUGGCGAAGGCGGGUCUCUGGACAGUUCCUGACACUGAGGCACGAAGGCCAGGGGAGCAAACGGG